CAUCAGAAGUGUCUGUGCCAGCAGUUCACCCACAUGGGGGAGGUCACUGAGACAACUAGGAGGAAGCGCAGAGGGACCAAACCCGCUCUGUGAGAAGCACUACCUGUCCAGACUGGUUUUACACUCAACAAUUUUCUAUCCAAGCUGGGAGAGAGCGUGAGGAUGGCUCAUGUCAUGCAGAACAGCCUCAAUUCGUCGGUGCGGGGACUCUACAAGGUGGCGAAAUAAGUUCCACAGGGAUGCUGGCCCAUGUUGACUCCAAUGCUUCCCACAGUUGUGUCACGUUGGCUGGAUGUCCUUUGGGUGGUGGACCAUUCUUGAUACACACAGGAAACUGUUGAGCAUGAAAAACCCAGCAGCGUGUCAGUUCUUGACACAAACUGGUGCACCUGGCACCAACUACCAUAACCUGUUCAAAGUGGAUUUAACAAGUGACAUCAAUAAGGGAUCAUAGCUUUCACCUAGAUGCACCUGAGGCUGCCUCCUACCAGUGUCUGCAGGGCAGAGCGUCUCAACUGCUAUCUACUCAGCCCUCUUCGGCCACCGGGCAUGACCCGGCACGGGCAUCACAUCCACUGCUGGUUCCUCCUGCCUCUGCCUCUCUGCCUAGACCAGCACCCAGAGACCACCACCACCUCACAGCCCGGUCCAACGCAGCCAGGCCGCUGGGGAAAUAAGAAUAGAGGACAACAUCGUCAAAACAACAAUAAUAAAAACAGGCCACUAGAGAGACAGACAGAGAAGAAGUCAGUAAAGGACAGGAUAAUGUUCAUAUGUUACAACGCAAAAAAACACAGUGAAACAGGUCGAAUACCAUCUGAACUUAUACAAUAUCUAAUGCUUGUUUUGGUUUUUUCAUUGCAACAUAUUUUGUUAUGGUGUGUGCUCUAAUGAACACAACCCGGUUUCAGUAAAGAACAUGUUCAAAUGAAUAGAGGACA
rnacentral:lncRNA from 1 species